AAUACGAGAGGCCAUUUGCUGCUCCAGGUUGUUCCCGUUGGGCCGCUUCUGAAAGUUCAGUUGAAAUUCGACUGCCCAAGAUAAACAAAGUUGAUUCAAAGACGAGGUGGUCGGAAAGGGACCUGACGAUCGCCCUCGUCCUCUACAUCAUUUUUGCAAUACUAGGAACGGUGCUGUUAAACUAUUUCCUUUUCACAGCAAGAGUUUGUGAAGGAGAAGAGGAACUGCUGAAUUUAAUAAAAUCGCUAGAAUAUCAGAUUGUUUCUAUCACGCACGGUAUAUCAUCAAUUCACUAAGGUUUGUGGGAGUUUUUUUCAAACGAAAAAAUAAUAAAUAUUACAUAACAAAUUAUUUGAAGUGGAAACUUCAAAAAUAUUGGAAGUGAUUUUCAGUUCAAAUCCAGUGGAAUUUAAUCAAUACAUUAUAAUGGAGGAAAAACUAUACGAAUCAAACAAAAUCAAAUUUUGAUUUUAGGAGGAUCUUUAGGCAAACAGAUUUAAGUCUGCUCGGCGUUCGGCAGAAAGUUUCAAAAUUCCAUUUGCACCGUCGGCGAAGAGGAAAAUUCUCUCCGCCUUUGAGGAUGGUCGCACGCAGAGAGAGAAAGAGAGAGAUAGAGAGACGAGUUAAUUCGAUUGUAGAGGGAGUGAUUUAUGUGCUUUAAUCAAAGAGAGCUGUGCAAAUUUCAAGACAAUAAAUUGGGAGCGAUUGUGAUAAAUCCGAGCCGUGUUAAUAUUUGCCAAAGCGAUUUUCCUCUCCAGAUUAUAGUCCAAUAUUAGCCUUAUGUACUUUCGAGUACAUGGACACACACGUUGUAAUAAGUUGCGCACACUGGCUGAGCCGGCGAUGAAAUCGAGCCGCACAAAGAGAAAUUCGCCCCGGGCUUGUUUUAAUAAAAUCCGAGUUUCGCAUGUGAAAUAUGUGCGCCGGCUUUUCGUUCGCUUUACGGCCGUUUUAUUAGAAGGCCGAAAUUGACUUUUAUUGUAUUUAACGGCGCCGUAAAUUCCCGAGGUAAAGCAGCCGGAUAAUAUCCAUCCUGUGCAACGUUUUAUGGACUGCUAAAAUGUAUAUAAAACUGCUCUACAUUGAUUUUCAGUCGUCUUUUUAAGUUUUUAUAUUUAAUCUUUAGAGAGUCAAAAUUAAUACUUCCCGUAUUACAUAAUUUUCCAAGAAAAGUUCAAAGAUGCCCUAGAAAUGAUUUUUGUGUACACUAAUUAUGCAAAUUUCCGAACUGGUAGCCAUCUUGGAUGAAAUAAUGGCAACAUUUUGAUUGAUCCAACAACAAUGAAAAAUUAAUUCCAUUGUUGAAUGAUCCCUCAUUGUUUCAAAGAAUCUAAAAUGUAUGACUUGCAAUCAAGCUUGUAACAAAAUUAUUGGCAAAAUUGAUAAUUGAAAUUAAUGUACAGAAUGUGACAAAUUAAGAAAAAUGAACAAUAAUAUUAAUAACAAAAUUUUCUAUUCUCAAAUUCAAUAAAAAGAAUGCAAAUCGUUUGUAAUUUUUUCAUUUAUUUACAAGAUUGAGCUAAUUUCAAACUUCUUCACUUCAAGUUUUAACUCGAUUUGCAUCAACUUAAAAUUCAAUAUAAGAGAAAAUUUAGCAAGUUUGAAGCUCAUCCAUCAAAGUGAAGGACGUCACGCGCAGCCUCUUUAAUAUUUCGAUUACACAUCUGGCAGAAUGUUUCUGCUUUGGUAUAUACAUUUGACGUGCAGCGAUGUUUGCUCGAUGGGACUUCACAAACAUUCUCCAUCGCCGCGAGAUUUCUUUUUAUCGGCGGGAUAAGUAAGCAGCUCUCUUUCUCUCGUCGUUGCUUUCUGCUGGCGCAGACACGCAUUUUUUGCGCCACUCUCGGACUGUCAGCGCCAGAGAUGAGAUUUUACCACUACAUGUGACGAGCGGUAUAAAAAGAGAGAGACAAUAUAAUCCCGUAUCGAUACACAACGACACACAAGAGCGACUUUCCGGCUGUCAUUUUCUUCUCCGACUCACGGCCCACGAAAAUGCGGCGCCGCCAGUAAAAAGAAAAUCCAAUCAGGACGACGCCGCAGAUCGGCACAAACAUUGUAAACAAACACACCGAUCGAGUCGCAUCAUCAAACUUUAAUCAGGAGUGACGUGAAAAAUAAUGUGGAAAAAUAUGGUGAAGGGAAAGUGAAGAUUAGCUAGCAAAAGGGAUACAAAAUGUAAAAAAAAAAUAACUUUAAAUAAAAAUUAAAGGAAAAAAUACGAAACGUAAAAAAAUAAAUAAAAUUAAAAAUUAAAGAAAAAAAAUACUAUGUAAAAAAAAUUUAAUAAUAAUGAAGGUAAAAAUAUGAAAUAAAAUAAAAUAAAAAAUUAGAGAAAAAAUUAAUUCAAAAUAAAAAAAUUAUUUUUAAAUAUUUGACUUUCCUAGCCUCCACCAGAACCCUUUCUAUCCCCCUCUCUCGGGUAUAUUUUUCAAUGAAGGUUCGCACGACGGAUUUGCAGUACGUGAUUAGCAUGCGAAAUUCGGUGCGUGGCGGGUGGAGGCGAAAACCACACCAAAGAGCGGCACGUCGCAAACUCAUCAUCGUCGCCGCUCUCU